GACGAACGCUGGCGGCGUGCCUAAUACAUGCAAGUCGAACGGUCCCCUUUCGGGGGGAUAGUGGCGGACGGGUGAGUAACACGUAGAUGACCUGCCCUUUAGUGGGGAAUAACAUCUCGAAAGAGAUGCUAAUACCGCAUAAGUUCUCUCCUGUUGGGGGGAGAAGAAACCUGUCUUGUGAAAGAGAUGGGGCUGAAGGAGGGGUCUGCGGCGGAUUAGCUAGUUGGAGGGGUAACGCCCACCAAGGCGACGAUCCGUAGCUGGUCUGAGAGGACGGCCAGCCACACUGGGACU
rnacentral:rRNA from 1 species